rnacentral:rRNA from 1 species
AUGAAUAAUCCUUUUGUUUUCCCUUCUUUUUGGGGUUUGCAAGCAACAGUUUAUAUGAUGCUGAGUUUUUUUGCUUAUUAUAGUAGAAGUGAUGGAUUUGUACUAUUGUAUUUCUGGAAAUGCGUAUUCACAGAAUUGCAAUCUGAAGGAGCGAUGGAAGUGAAGAUUGCAUGCUUUUUCUUUAAGAUACCUAAUAGAUGGCAUAUUAUUUUCGCUUCAGAUUUAAGAGUGUUCGAUCUGCUACAUCGUGCAUUUGUUCAGUCUCAAAAUUUCAGUGUUAUUCCUAGCAUAUUCUCUAUUUCUCGGUAUUAUUCACACCACGUCAUUGGUGAAAGCCUACUGGAAAGAAUAAUUAAUUAA